GGUUGUGUAGUGUAGCGGUUAUCACUUUGGAUUUUGACACCCCUCAAACUUUCCAAUAACCCCGGUUCGAACCCGGGCACGACCU